UACGGAGGGUGCGAGCGUUGUCCGGAAUCACUGGGCGUAAAGGGCGCGUAGGCGGCGCGAGCAGUCGGCGGUGAAGGCCCGGAGCUCAACUCCGGGUCGGCCGUCGAUACUCUCGUGCUUGAGCACUGUAGAGGCAGGUGGAAUUCCGGGUGUAGCGGUGGAAUGCGUAGAGAUCCGGAAGAACACCGGUGGCGAAGGCGGCCUGCUGGGCAGUAGCUGACGCUGAUGCGCGACAGCGUGGGGAGCAAACAGG
rnacentral:rRNA from 1 species